rnacentral:rRNA from 1 species
GCUAACUGCGUGCCGGCGGCAGAGGUAAUACGAAGGGGGCAAUGGUUAGCGUGAAUUACUGGGCGUAAAGCGUGCGGAGGGGGUUUGUUAAGUCUGAUGUGAAAGCCCUGGGCUCAACCUGGGAAUGGCAUUGGAUACUGGCAGGCUAGAGUGCGGUAGAGGGUAGUGGAAUUCCCGGUGUAGCAGUGAAAUGCGUAGAGAUCGGGAGGAACAUCUGUGGCGAAGGCGACUACCUGGACCAGCACUGACACUGAGGCACGAAAGUGUGGGGAGCAAACAGGAUUAGAUACCCCAGUAGUC